rnacentral:rRNA from 1 species
GACGAACGCUGGCGGCGUGCUUAACACAUGCAAGUCGAACGGAAAGGCCCUGCUUUUGUGGGGUGCUCGAGUGGCGAACGGGUGAGUAACACGUGAGUAACCUGCCCUUUACUUUGGGAUAACUUCAGGAAACUGGGGCUAAUACCGGAUAGGAGCUCCUGCGGCAUGGUGGUGGUUGGAAAGGUUCGGCGGUUGGGGAUUGACUCGCGGCUUAUCAGCUUGUUGGUGGGGUAGUGGCUUACCAAGGCUUUGACGGGUAGCCGGCCUGAGAGGGUGACCGGCCACAUUGGGACUGAGAUACGGCCCAGAGUACUACGGGAGGCAGCAGUGGGGAAUAUUGCACAAUGGGCGGAAGCCUGAUGCAGCAACGCCGCGUGCGGGAUGAUGGCCUUCGGGUUGUAAACCGCUUUCGCCUGUGACGAAGCGUGAGUGACGGUAAUGGGUAAAGAAGCACCGGCUAACUACGUG